AACCUUUACACUGCACGACAGUGCGAUAGGGGGACUCCGAGUGCGAGGGCAUAUAGCCCUCGCUUUUCUGAACCGUAAGGUGGUUCAGGAACAAGGACUGGGCAAGACCGGUGCCAGCCGCCGCGGUAAUACCGGCAGUCCGAGUGAUGGCCGAUAUUAUUGGGCCUAAAGCGUCCGUAGCCGGCCGGACAAGUCCGUUGGGAAAUCGACGCGCUCAACGCGUCGGCGUCCAGCGGAAACUGUCCGGCUUGGGGCCGGAAGACCUGAGGGGUACGUCCGGGGUAGGAGUGAAAUCCUGUAAUCCUGGACGGACCACCGAUGGCGAAAGCACCUUGAGAGGACGGACCCGACGGUGAGGGACGAAAGCCAGGGUCUCGAACCGGAUUAGAUACCCGGGUAGUCCUGGCCGUAAACGAUGUUCGCUAGGUGUGGCGCAGGCUACGAGCCUGCGCUGUGCCGUAGGGAAGCCGUGAAGCGAACCGCCUGGGAAGUACGUCUGCAAGGAUGAAACUUAA
rnacentral:rRNA from 1 species